rnacentral:rRNA from 1 species
AGAUUAAGUUAUUAAGGGCGCACGGUGGAUGCCUUGGCACUAGAAGCCGAUGAAGGACGUUACUAACGACGAUAUGCUUUGGGGAGCUGUAAGUAAGCUUUGAUCCAGAGAUUUCCGAAUGGGGAAACCCAGCAUGAGUUAUGUCAUGUUAUCGAUAUGUGAAUACAUAGCAUAUCAGAAGGCACACCCGGAGAACUGAAACAUCUUAGUACCCGGAGGAAGAGAAAGAAAAUUCGAUUCCCUUAGUAGCGGCGAGCGAAACGGGAAGAGCCCAAACCAAAAAGCUUGCUUGUUGGGGUUGUAGGACACUCUAUACGGAGUUACAAAGGACGACAUUAGACGAAUCAUCUGGAAAGAUGAAUCAAAGAAGGUAAUAAUCCUGUAGUCGAAAAUGUUGUCUCUCUUGAGUGGAUCCUGAGUACGACGGAGCACGUGAAAUUCCGUCGGAAUCUGGGAGGACCAUCUCCUAAGGCUAAAUACUCUCUAGUGACCGAUAGUGAACCAGUACCGUGAGGGAAAGGUGAAAAGCACCCCGGAAGGAGAGUGAAAUAGAACCUGAAACCGUGUGCUUACAAGUAGUCAGAGCCCGUUAAUGGGUGAUGGCGUGCCUUUUGUAGAAUGAACCGGCGAGUUACGAUUUGAUGCAAGGUUAAGCAGUAAAUGUGGAGCCGUAGCGAAAGCGAGUCUGAAUAGGGCGUUUAGUAUUUGGUCGUAGACCCGAAACCAGGUGAUCUACCCUUGGUCAGGUUGAAGUUCAGGUAACACUGAAUGGAGGACCGAACCGACUUACGUUGAAAAGUGAGCGGAUGAACUGAGGGUAGCGGAGAAAUUCCAAUCGAACCUGGAGAUAGCUGGUUCUCUCCGAAAUAGCUUUAGGGCUAGCCUCAAGUGAUGAUUAUUGGAGGUAGAGCACUGUUUGGACGAGGGGCCCCUCUCGGGUUACCGAAUUCAGACAAACUCCGAAUGCCAAUUAAUUUAACUUGGGAGUCAGAACAUGGGUGAUAAGGUCCGUGUUCGAAAGGGAAACAGCCCAGACCACCAGCUAAGGUCCCAAAAUAUAUGUUAAGUGGAAAAGGAUGUGGCGUUGCCCAGACAACUAGGAUGUUGGCUUAGAAGCAGCCAUCAUUUAAAGAGUGCGUAAUAGCUCACUAGUCGAGUGACACUGCGCCGAAAAUGUACCGGGGCUAAACAUAUUACCGAAGCUGUGGAUUGUCCUUUGGACAAUGGUAGGAGAGCGUUCUAAGGGCGUUGAAGCAUGAUCGUAAGGACAUGUGGAGCGCUUAGAAGUGAGAAUGCCGGUGUGAGU